CCUUUACAUGCAGUGGAGCCGCCGUAUCUCGCCGUUCAAGAUAUGCGUACUCGUAAGUGGCAUUUUAAUUUCACGUUGUGUAAUGCAUGACUGUCUUUUUCAAGUGAACAAAGGUCGCUUUGUAUUGUGUAAAUGGUUUUGCAACGUAUGAUAAACUCCUUGUCUUUCGGGCUUAUUUUUUCUGACAGGAAGAAAAAAAAAAGAGGCUUUACAUGAGAACGGAUCAAGCGUUCGAGAGUUGGGACAGGGAAAUGUGAGACGUACUUUCAUGUAUAUAUUUCUAAUAUUAUUUUUUCGUCUUGUAUUCUCGUUAAUUUUUCUCUAGGAAACACUGGAACGACACUGCUUAAAUUGAAGCACAGCGUGCGAAUGACCUGCUACGCUCGGAACUGUUAUCACCAUUCGGGAAGAAAUUGGGUAAGAAUGGAUUGUGUGUGGCGCGCUUCACCGCAUGUGGACUAGAGUAGAUCUAGGAACAUCAGACAAGAAGACACGUAUGUGAAACCCUGCGGAUAGCCCAUAUGUAAGUUCUUCCUCAAUUUUUCUUUUGUUGCAUUUUCGUAGUUUACGUGUAAUACUUUGUCACCGCGGUCUCGACGUUAUGUAUACCUAUACAUUUGUCUCGUGGCAGUCUGCGUGCUAUUUUGUUUGUGCAACUAUGUGUUGUAUUCAUUUAUCGCGCUGCCUGGAUGGUUUUUUUUUUCACUGAUAUUCCGACCAAAGUCGGUAAACCUAUCCUUCCUGUCCUCAUGUUUCCUUGGGCGGCUCUAAAGCGUAUCUUAGAGGAAUAUUUAGCUUCAGAUUCCCGCAUGGAACAGAUGGUGAACUUUUUUUCCAGAUACGGAGGAACGGACACCGGUCGUGUCGUGAGCACUAUUCUGCAGGGCAUACUUACAAAUGAAGCUGCACUGCAGUUCAGCUGGAAAGGGUCGCAGGGGAGGAAGCACGCCUUCGUGAAGCUCAUGGCCAUCACGAAUAUAACAUCUGUGAGGAGCACGUUCCCUGACGCUUCA
rnacentral:lncRNA from 1 species